rnacentral:rRNA from 1 species
CCUACGGGUGGCAGCAGUGAGGAAUAUUGGUCAAUGGCCGUAAGGCUGAACCAGCCAAGUAGCGUGAGGGAAGACUGCCCUAUGGGUUGUAAACCUCUUUUAUGCGGGGAUAAAGGUGUCCACGUGUGGAUGUUUGCAGGUACCGCAUGAAUAAGGACCGGCUAAUUCCGUGCCAGCAGCCGCGGUAAUACGGAGGUUCCGGGCGUUAUCCGGAUUUAUUGGGUUUAAAGGGGGCGUAGGCCGGUCUUUAAGCGGGCGGUGAAAUGUUGGGGCUCAACCAUGGAAGUGCGGCGCGAACUGGAGACCUUGAGUGGGCGGAAGGCAGGCGGAAUUCGUGGUGUAGCGGUGAAAUGCUUAGAUAUCACGAAGAACCCCGAUUGCGAAGGCAGCCUGCCGCAGCGUUACUGACGCUGAGGCUCGAAAGCGCGGGUAUCGAACAGGAUUAGAUACCCUUGUAGUC